CCUACGGGAGGCAGCAGUGAGGAAUAUUGGUCAAUGGACGGAAGUCUGAACCAGCCAUGCCGCGUGCAGGACGACGGCUCUAUGAGUUGUAAACUGCUUUUGUACAAGGGUAAACCUGAAUACGUGUAUUCAGCUGAAAGUCCUGUACGAAUAAGGCUCGGCUAACUCCGUGCCAGCAGCCGCGGUAAUACGGAGGAGCCAAGCGUUAUCCGGUUUUAUUGGGUUUAAGGGGUGCGUAGGGGGAUUGAUCAGUUAGAGGUGAAAUGUCCGAGCUUAACUCGGGAACUGCCUCUAAUACGGUUGAUCUAGGGAGAAGAUGCGGUAGGCGGAAGGUAGGGUGUAGCGGGGAAAUGCUU
rnacentral:rRNA from 1 species